GUGCAUUGUCCCCGAACAGUUUGCUCCCAGUUAUAACUGUGGCAGAAAAAUGAACAAAGGAGAUCCUACAGGACUCAUGUAUUGUAAGGAUACCACUGUCAUAGCAUCACUGACUUCUGUGCUCUAUUAUGAUAAAGAAUUACCCAACCCAGAGAGGUUUGAUCCUAGUCACUUUCUGGAUGAGAGUGGCAAGUUUAAGAAAAGUGACUACUUUUUUCCUUUCUCAACAGGAAAACGGAUUUGUGUUGGAGAGGGUCUGGCUUGAACGGAAUUAUUUUUAUUCCUGACCACCAUUUAACAGAACUUUAACUUGAAAUCUCCAGUUGAUCUGAAAGAACUUGAUACUCCUCCAGUUGCCAAUGGAUUUGCUUCUAUGCCACCCAAGUUCCAGAUAUGCUUCAUUCCCAUCUAAAUGGAUUUCCCCUUAAAGCCCUUUCCUUGAGGGUAUAGUUGACUUCAGGCAUGUCUCUCUGACUCUAUUACCAGAGUUCUGGGAUUCCAUAUAUAUACCUGCACAAACUGAUCUACGUCUUUCUUUAUUCAUUAGGCAUACAGUAAUAAGCUAAAAAAAUGUCCCAAGAUGUUUCUUCAACAUAAUACAUACAAAGAAAGCAUGAUAUCUCUGACCUUCUAUCUCUUAAAGAUACAGGAAACGCCUAUCUUCUAUUUGAAGCAAUUUUUAGGGUGACUGCAAAAUAAGUCCACAAUUUCUUAAGCUGGGCAAUGAUUGAUUUACUGAUUUCAGCACUGAUAGUUCUUAUCUGAUGGGGAAUUAUUAAUAUAUUACUAUUUUAAAACUGAGAAAUUUGACAGUUUUAAAGUACUGUGUGUUUUAAAUAAAAGUAUUAUAAUUCU